GGAGGGAUGUCAGAGCGGACGAAUGAGAUAGUCUUGAAAACUAUUGUGGGGCAACUCACCGGGGGUUCGAAUCCCUCUCCCUCCGCCA
rnacentral:tRNA from 1 species